GUUUCUAUUCCAAUGUGUCUUUGUAG
rnacentral:piRNA from 1 species